rnacentral:rRNA from 1 species
GACGGACGGUGCAAGCGUUGCUCGGAAUCACUGGGCGUAAAGGGUGCGUAGGCGGCCGCGCAAGUCUGGCGUGAAAGCCCCGGGCUCAGCCCGGGAAGGGCGCUCGAAACGGCGCGGCUCGAGUGCCGGAGGGGAGAGUGGAAUUCCUGGUGUAGCGGUGAAAUGCGCAGAUAUCAGGAGGAACACCAAUGGCGAAGGCAGCUCGCUGGGACGUGACUGACGCUGAGACGCGAAAGCGUGGGGAGCAAACAGG